AGGGUGUGUACAUUACCUUACUUGCUGGUAAACGGAUAUUGUUUGUAGAUCGUAGCUGUAGAAGCCUCCUUUGAGCCAUUCUGCUCAUGUUUUAUGACACGGCUUACUCGAUGCGGAGUGCCGACGUGGAGGAGACUAGGGUGCCUUGGUGGUGGGAUCCUUUGAGUGUACACACCUGCCUUGUUUAGUUUAUUAGUG